rnacentral:rRNA from 1 species
UACAGAGGGUGCGAGCGUUAAUCGGAAUUACUGGGCGUAAAGCGUGCGUAGACGGUUAUUUAAGUCGGAUGUGAAAGCCCCGGGCUCAACCUGGGAAUUGCAUUCGAUACUGCCGUGCUUGAGGACUGGAGAGGAGACUGGAAUUUACGGUGUAGCGGUGAAAUGCGUAGAUAUCGUAAGGAAGACCAGUGGCGAAGGCGGGUCUCUGGACAGUUCCUGACGCUGAGGCACGAAGGUCAGGGGAGCAAACGGG